rnacentral:misc_RNA from 1 species
UGGCUCUUUGCUUGUGCAACAACUUCCACCUGACAAACCUUGCAGUUACAUGUCAAGGCUUCUAUGCCCUGACCAGAUUGUGGGUUUCUUGUGUUUUCCUGCCUCUCGCAUAAGGCAUCUAUUUGGGUUGCAUCAGUUCCUUUCGUCUGGUGUCGUGCUCAAGACAUCAGAUGAAACCUUAAUGCCGUCUCUUUAAACCACAUCAUUAACCGGCGUGUUGAUGUAGUGGUGCAUUGAACACUGCUUGGUCUCUUUAAUAUAGAACCCAAUGUGGGCAUGGGUUGCUUGCGAUCCUUGUUAUGUCCCAGUUUAGGUGWAUUGUCCCGAGAAUGACUGCUCAACUCGCAUUGGUGUUAUACCAGCGUGUUGGGUUGUGUCUAACAAGAAAGUUACCUGGUUGAUCCUGCCAGUAGUCAUAUGCUUGUCUCAAAGAUUAAGCCAUGCA